UAGGCGGCGUUAGGGAGGGACCCAGGGGCCCGGGGGGGGAAUAGGCGGCGUUAGCAGGGCCCCAGGGGCCCGGGGCGGGAAUAGGUGGCGUUAGGAGGGACCCAGGAGCCCGGGGCGGGAGAGGCGGCCUCAGCAGGGACCCAGGAGCCCGGGGCGGGAGAGGCGGCGUUAGGAGGGACCCAGGAGCCCGGGGCGGGAAUAGGCGGCGUUAGGAGGGACCCAGGAGCCCGGGGCGGGAGAGGCGGCGUUAGGAGGGACCCAGGAGCCCGGGGCGGGAAUAGGCGGCGUUAGGAGGGACCCAGGGGCCCGGGGCGGGAGAGGCGGCGUUAGCAGGGACCCAGGGGCCCGGGGCGGGAAUAGGCGGCGUUAGCAGGGACCCAGGGGCCCGGGGCGGGAAUAGGCGGCGUUAGCAGGGACCCAGGGGCCCGGGGCGGGAAUAGGCGGCGUUAGGAGGGACCCAGGGGUCCGGGGCGGGAGAGGCGGCGUUAGCAGGGACCCAGGGGCCCGGGGCGGGAAUAGGCGGCGUUAGCAGGGACCCAGGCGUCCGGGGCGGGAAUAGGCGGCGUUAGCAGGGACCCAGGGGCCCGGGGCGGGAAUAGGCGGCGUUAGGAGGGACCCAGGGGCCCGGGGCGGGAAUAGGCGGCGUUAGGAGGGACCCAGGGGCCCGGGGCGGGAGAGGCGGCGUUAGCAGGGACCCAGGGGUCCGGGGCGGGAGAGGCGGCGUUAGCAGGGACCCAGGGGCCCGGGGCGGGAAUAGGCGGCGUUAGGAGGGACCCAGGGGCCCGGGGCGGGAAUAGGCGGCGUUAGGAGGGACCCAGGAGCCCGGGGCGGGAAUAGGCGGCGUUAGGAGGGACCCAGGGGCCCGGGGCGGGAAUAGGCGGCGUUAGGAGGGACCCAGGGGCCCGGGGCGGGAAUAGGCGGCGUUAGGAGGGACCCAGGGGCCCGGGGCGGGAAUAGGUGGCGUUAGGAGGGAGCCAGGAGCCCGGGGCGGGAGAGGCGGCCUCAGCAGGGACCCAGGAGCCCGGGGCGGGAGAGGCGGCCUC